ensembl:lncRNA
AGGUUUAUUAGUAAACUGCAUGCUACAGUCACUUUUCUUGGGUCACAUUAUUAAUGUCAGUAUGCAUUGUUGACUUUCUUUGUCUGAUACUACAAGCAGCGGUCUGCAGUGCUCUGAAAUCUGGAUCUUUAAGGUCAACAUCGCAAAACUGCUUAUCACAACAUCUGGAUGUUGGAGCUUCACUCUGCAGACUGAGGUACAUGUUUACUAGUAGAUAUACUUAUUAGUGAGCUAUUAGUAGGAACAGCCAUAGUAAAGAAUAGUAUAAUACAGAUAUUUAGAUCUUAGCUGAGCCGAUGUGUGACUGAUAAGGUGAAAACUGGUGAUGAAACCUAAAAACUAAGGAGAGAAAAAGCAAAUACCGCUCAACGAAAAGUGAUCCAGCCAAGAAAAUAAUGUGAUGUACUGAUUGUAGGACGUACGGCAGUGAAAAUGUUAAGGGGUCUUUUUUGUAGUUGGGACAAGCAACUCCACAGUGGAAACAAUAAAGGACCAUGACAUCUUCGUUGGCCAUGUCAAAAGCAUUAUCUAAAUGGAAGAAGACAACAAAGUACUCCUGCACAUAUGCAAUGAGCUGCUCGUUUUGUCUUUGUCUUAAUCAGUUACCUAUGUAUUCGCAUGCAAUUUUAACAUGCUCACAAUCCCUAAGAUGAAUUAUUCAGGAAUCAUGAAUGUGUGUACAGAACUAGCUGCAAAUUCCGCUAACAUUUGUGUAGAAAUCUAAAAUGUUUGAAUCUACCGAAAGUCAUAAGAGGAAGAAGAUUACCACUCUUUUUUGUUUUAGGCAAUGUAUCUUAAACAUAUUACAGCUUCCAGUUAAUAACAGCGAUGUGAGAUGCCAAACGAUUACCAUGUGAAAGUAAAUUGUUUUUGCCGCUAUACCUGCAAGACAACGUUCAAGUUUGUGUAUAAACUCGUAGCUCGCGUCCGUUGCAGAUUUAUACACUACAUCUACACUGCUGAUCAUGAUGAGGCCUUUGCAGUCAUUUGGGUGUGUCUCCUCCUCUGUGGAAAGCAUUGUGCUUUUCCAUUCAAAAAGAAACCAGUUUAGCUGAAGGUCAUCAGCAGUGAACUCUGGAAAUGUUUGAAUCUACAGAAAAACAUAAGAGGGAGAAGAUUAAAACUUUUUUUAGUUUUAGCCAAUGUACCCUAAACAUUUUACAACUUUCAGUUACUAACAGCAAUGUGAGAGCCCAAAUGAUUGUUUGUAGCGGUUGCAUGGUAACUCGUAGUAGAUAGAUAGAUACUUUAUUGAUCCCUCAAGAGGGAAAUUUUGGUAUCACAGCCGCAUGUACAGGGAAGAAAAUAGAAUAAAAAGAUACACAUUAUAUACAAUAUAAUAAGAUAUAAAUAUUAAAUAAAAUAAACUGAAACAAAAGAAUAACCUUCUAAAAGAGACAAUAAUAAUAAUUUGUAAAAAGAGAAGAGGAAAGAGCAGCAGCAGUACAGGGUUAUUAUUGUCAUUAUUUAGCCUGGGAUGAUUUAUUGUAAAGCGUUAUUGCACUGGGCAGGAAUGAUCUCCUGUAUCGGUCUUUGUGACAGCGGAGCUGAAGGAGUCUUUUGGAGAACGUGCUCCGCUGUCCCUGUAGCAGGUGGUGGAGGGGGUGGUCAGGAUUAUCCAAUGAGGAUAACAGUUUCUUCAGUGACCUCCCCUCCAACACCUUUUCCAAGGUGUCCUGUUUGCAGCCAAUGAUGGAGCCGGCCUCCUUAACAAGUUUGUUAAGUCUGUUGGUGUCACCGGCUCCAAUGCUGCUCCCCCAGCAGACCACGGCGAAGUACAAAGCACCGGCCACAACAGACUGAUAGAACAUCUCCAACAUCUUGCUGCACACCUGGAAGGAUC